rnacentral:rRNA from 1 species
GAUGAUCGCUGGCGGCGUGCCUAAUACAUGCAAGUCGAACGAGGUGCUUUUGUAGCAAUACGAGAGUAUCCUAGUGGCGAACGGGUGAGUAACGCGUUGGUGACCUACCCCAAAGUGUGGGAUAACAGUCCGAAAGGAUUGCUAAUACCGCAUGUGGUCUUCGGAUUUAGAAACUGAUGACUAAAGGAGCAAUUCGCUUUGGGAGGGACCUGCGUCCCAUCAGCUGGUUGGUGAGGUAAUGGCUCACCAAGGCUACGACGGGUAGGGGACCUGAGAGGGUGACCCCCCACAAUGGAACUGAAACACGGUCCAUACACCUACGGGUGGCAGCAGUAGGGAAUAUUGCACAAUGGGCGAAAGCCUGAUGCAGCAACGCCGCGUGUGCGAUGAAGGCCUUCGGGUCGUAAAGCACUUUUCUGGGAGAUGAGCAAGGACAGUAUCUCAGGAAUAAGUCUCGGCUAACUACGUGCCAGCAGCCGCGGUAA